UACGUAGGGGGCAAGCGUUGUCCGGAUUUAUUGGGCGUAAAGAGCGUGUAGGCGGUCAGGUAGGUCCGUUGUGAAAACUCGAGGCUCAACCUCGAGAUGUCGGCGGAAACCAUCUGGCUAGAGUCCGGAAGAGGAGAAUGGAAUUCCCGGUGUAGCGGUGAAAUGCGCAGAUAUCGGGAAGAACACCCGUGGCGAAGGCGGUUCUCUGGGACGGUACUGACGCUGAGACGCGAAAGCGUGGGGAGCGAACAGG
rnacentral:rRNA from 1 species